UCUGCAUCGUAAAGGAAACACUUGUGCUGUAUGCUUCCAUACAAUAUCACACCUCUAGGUCACACUGAAUUUAAGGACAAACCCUUCUCUUCCCUGGGUUGCUUGCACCAAGCUGCACAAAUCCUGAUGGCCUUAAGCAUACCAACCUGUCCCAGUGGAGCUACUCACGUCCCGCGUUAUGCAGAAAUUAAACUAUAUUCCAAAAGGCCUGCUUCAAAACCCAGGAGCAAGGCUAAGGGCCUCAAUAUCGCCUGUGUUGUCUGAGGGAGAAUAGCUGAAGGAAAACGUUCCCAUCCUGUUCUCAAGACUGAAAAGCAAAGAUGUGCUGAAGACCAAUGACAAUAAUUAUUCAGGGAAGAUCCUUGACCUCUGCCUCACCAUGUGAAACCCUGCAGAUAUAGCACUCCUACCUGCAAUGUGUGCUGGGAUGGCCACUCUGAAACUACACAGGAAAGAAGAACCUGCAGUAAAAAUGCAUCAUGGCCAGCUGAAAACUCCAAUAACUGAAGAGUCACUCCCUGUAGUACUGGAGGCUCUUACAAGCAACGUUACUUCAUGCCAGGCACCUGUUUUUGUCAGCAGGAGAGUUUGCCUCUUCUGUCAUGAAGUGACUGCUGCCCAAAGCCAGCUGGGAACCACUGGUGUUUGCAGGUAUCUAUAGAACCAAAACUGCGAACUGGGCCUGGGACAGCAUGAUGCAACCUCCUGAGGAGCUGAUCAACUCCCUGGCUUUGGUGAAAUCCAAAUGAGAACAGGUUAUCUGAGGUGCUCCUGCUACCCCACGUCACCGAACGCCUUUGCAAGGAUGAGUCAAUUCAGCAGAAGUCCUAAGUGAAUUCUAGAGAGAAAAGGAAGCAGAGGACAGGCCGCAAUCAAGCCAAAGCAUCAGGCAAACAGAAAUCAGGCUGCUUGUGUGAGAGCUGCACCAUCAAGGUUAGUGAUACUUUUCUCACACUAGAGCAGAGAAAAGGAAGUCUUAAGUCUUACAAAUAUUCCUCUAAUGUGCAACACCAUUGCUGGCCAGCUUGUGUUUUGU